rnacentral:rRNA from 1 species
AUACGGAGGGUGCAAGCGUUAAUCGGAAUUACUGGGCGUAAAGGGCGCGUAGGCGGUCUAUCAAGUCAGGUGUGAAAUCCCACGGCUCAACCGUGGAGGUGCAUCUGAAACUGAUAGACUUGAGUAUGGGAGAGGAAAGCGGAAUUCCCGGUGUAGAGGUGAAAUUCGUAGAUAUCGGGAGGAACACCAGUGGCGAAGGCGACUUUCUGGACCAAUACUGACGCUGAGGCGCGAAAGCGUGGGGAGCAAACAGGAGUAGAAACCCUAGUAGUCC